GGGAAUAAAUUUCAUUUUGGAGGUUGUCUAGAUUCCAAAGAAAGUAAAUUGUGGGUAGAAAAGGGUUGGCAAAAACAACAGAGUUGAUGUUUUGGUUUUUAUCCUGUGGUAAGAUGGGUGUGGCAAAUGAUCUUGAUGAUGUAGAUUGGUCUAGAUUGCUUUGAACUAAAAAGUAUUUUUAAAAGGUAAUUUCUCCAUUGUUCCAGGUUUCCUGGACAACUUAGAUUAAAGAGUAAUAUUUCUCUGUAACAAGGUCUUUGUAAAAACAUCAGACAGAAGUGUAUCAUAGAGAGAUCGUUGUCCUGUUAAUUGAACAUUCCUCUGUCAUCAGGUUUUUGUUAUUUAUCAGAAUGUACCAGCCCUGUGCAUAUGUGAACAAGGAAGGGAAGGAUUUCACACAUACUGCCUGGUUUUCCUCAUCUUGCCAAGUAGACUUUAAACACAUUUUCCUCUUAUUUAUGUGGACAUCCUCUACUGAUGUCCUUAUAUGGAGGUGGAGGGCAUGGUCUUCUUAAGAUUGCCAAAUACACAGACUGGAACUGAGCUCUGGGCACUGACCUGUGGGUCUUAGGAGUACAGCACCUGAGUGCUGAGUGUGUGAACUGAGUGUGUGAACUCACUAAAACAGGGAAUGAUUUUCUAGGUUCUAGAAAACCUAAGCUAAUUAAAUUAAAGGGAUUAACACUGCUAAAGAAGGAUAUGGUCACUGUCAAAAUGGCAUGUGGGGUGAAGCAAAGAAGCCCAAAGCAACCAGAGCUCAUUAAAACACUGCAAGGAGAGUGAGUGGGGACGGACAGCUCAGAACUCCAUCUUUGUAGGCAAGACUAUCAACACCAAGACGCUGAGUCCCAUAGAUGAACUAAUGCGUGAUGAACACAAGCGUUGUCAUGAUUCCAACCUCCCAUAUUCUGCUUAUUAUUUGGCUUCCACGUAGAAAUAGCUGGUAAUGACAUCUCCAAUAUUGGGAACAUUGAGUGGUGAGCCUGAUUCAAAUGAAGUUUUGGCUUUUUAUGUGUGCUUGCUAGUUUGGUUAUCUUAAGAUUUAUUGAGGGAGUGUUUGCUCUUACUCCCUGGAAACAUUUGUGUUUCGACGCUAUACUAUUUAGUUUAGCCUGUUUCCUCCUCAUAGCUGAGAAUCACCAGGAAGGAGAGUCUUAGUGAGUAGUUAGGUUGAACUGUGUGCUAUGUCUAUGGGGGACUGUCCUGAUUGUUAGUGGAUGUGGGAAGACACAACCUAUUAUGGGCUGUGCCAUUUCCUAGGGAGGAGUUAAAGACAUCCACUCUGGCUCACAGUUCACAGGUUUGUGGUCCACUGGAAGAUAGAAAGUAUGGGAAAAUCACUCAGUAUGUGGAGGUGGGAUAUUGCAGUGGGGCCUUCUCACAUUGUAGUGCACCAGAAAACAUAAGACUUCCUGGAACCAAAGACUGAGACGUAAUCUUUCAAAGACCACCAGUGACUUAUGUUUUCUAUUCAGGCCUACUACAUAUAGAGCCUAUAGUCUCUAUGCAGCAUCCCUGGCUGGGGGGACAAGAGUUGAAAACACAGGCCUAUGGAGCUCAUUUUUAAUUUGAACACUAACAACCACUGAUGCUUCCAAAGAAGACUAAGCAAGCAAGCUUGACCCAAGUACUUGGCUGUGACAUAGGGGUUAGUUAGGGCACCUGAAAUGUAAUAUUCUUCCUGGCAUAGAGACUUCUGUUGACCUCCAAGCUCAAUGACUUAAGUCAGAACUGGGCACUGUCCAGACCCUGUUUGCAGUUCGCAGAGGCAAAGCUUCUAGUUCUGCAAGCCUGAGUUACUGAUUGGUCCUCAGAUGGGAGUGGCUGAGAACCCAGAUGGCAGGUAAUCGUUAGGGGAGGCUGGCAUAGGGCUAGGCCAGGCUGCAACUGACAGCUGUGGCUAUGAUUCACUCCAGCAAGCAUCCGUUCCACCACUAAGGACCUUACAAGCUGCAUCCUCUCGUGCCAGGAUUUUGCUUGCCUUGCUGUGUUUUAUUUCUUUAUCUUUAACAUUAUGUGCCAGCAAUCCUUAUCAGAAAUUAUGCUUGUGCUAUUUUUCAAAGGAUUUUAGAUUUUUUAAACGCAAAUCUUGUUUUCCCUGGAAGAUUAUUAGGUCUGGGCUCUGCUUUCCCGGAGACCUUUAGCUGGGGCUAGCAGCUCAGUUAGCUCAUUUUCUUUUCUCUUUAAAACAUUAUCAUGUAGGCAGUGGGUCCUGCAGGGCUUGCCACAGAACUGUGGUGCCCUGUGGUCAGACACUGUUGCAGACAGACCACUUCCCCUGCUGUUUCUAGGUUCAGCAUUGUCUGCAGUAUCCGGCAAGGUAGAUUCCUAACAUACCAAUCUCAACCAAAUACUGACUACAUCGCUUAACCUUUCACCCCUCAGAGGCUUAUAGUGUAUCACAGUGUGUGGGUUCCAUAUAGAAAGUGAGCAGGAGCUGGAGAGAGUGAUGGAGAAGAUAACUAUACUCUUAUUCCUCAAGACUUAGCUAUUAUCUUCCUCAGGCACUGAGUUCAGAGUCCAGAUACUAAUUAUUUUUCCAUAGCAAUGAUUAUAUAUGAUAAAGUCUUCCUAAUCAAAAGGAAAAAAACCCAUUUAACUUUGAGGCAUCAUUCCCUCCUUAUUUUUAGAUUUUUCUUAUUUUCUUAAAAUUUAAAUGUACGUAUGUGUGCCUGUAUGAGAUUAUAUGCACCAUGUGAGUGCAUGCUAGAAGAUGGCACACUAAUUGUGCAUUUAAAGUGUGGAAUAUGCUGAGAAUUUGUUACUUCUUUUUAGUCUCAAAAAUCAUAAAGAAGACCUAAUUAAUGCAACUUCCCCAAGGGAUACAUAUAUUUACAAGUUGUAGUCAGUGCAGAUGCACCCAAAAGGCUGGUAUUGAAUGAGUGUCUAUAUGACCUCAAAACACGAGAGAGAUCACAAUCCUUCCAUCCUUGGUUUGAUGAACUCACAGGUCUGGAGUGUGCUUCCACACCAUCUGCGUUUAAAGAUGGUCAAGUUCAUGUGAAAGGAGGCAAAGAGCUGGGCAGUGAGAUGACUCCCUAAACAUUCAUGUGUUAAGCUAUGCCAUCUUGCUACCUUGUUUGACUCAUUUCUCCUUUUAGUACCCUCCAAUUAAGAAACCACAUAUACAUGCUUAGGUUUUAUCUAGUUGUUCUAUGAGUAAGUAAAGAUGGCCACAAAUAGAUCACAGGAAGGAGGUCCUGCCAAAGAAGGAGGAGUUCUCCUACUCAGAACUGAGAUCAUCAGUCAGAGGUGCCUGGGGAGUGGGAGAACAAGGACACCAUUGCCCACCAGAGUGGUCUGCAUUAGAGGCUAGCAAGAUGCUUGUUGGAAUAUCUAUAAUUUGCUCCUAUAAAUAUGGCAUAGAGACAUCACACCUAUGAAAAUACUUAGCUGCUUUAAGGAAGGGACAAUCUCAUAUUAUCCCCCUUGAGACUUCCAUAAUGCUUAGCAGGGGUCACUUGUCCCAAGUAGAUGUUCCAUACAUAUUACUUAAUGAGAGGGUAAGCUUGUCACCAGGUUAUUGAGGGAAGGUACUUGGGUGCCAAUUCUCAUAUGUGGCAGUCGAAUUCCAGUAGUGACACCGAAGGAUCACAUCAUUGUUUGUGAAGGACACUCAUUUGCGGAAGGUAUAAAGAGAGCUGGGGUUUUAGUUGCUUAUCAAUUAAAUGACAUUUAGCCUUUUAUGUUGCACCAUUUAGCAGCAGGCUACUAAUCAGAAAUUCAUUCAGCUCUCAAUUGCUUGAUAAAGUGAGACAGAAAAUGGAUAUCAUUUUAGGAAGUUGCUUUACCAAAUUAUUUUUGACCCGAGAAGGCUAUCCACCAAGCAGUGACUUGUAGAGUCUAUUAUGUUGAAUGGCUUCUACAUAAUUAAAAUUGUGUUUGUAGCCUAGAAAUUAUCUCUUAAGACAUCUUUUCUCCAUAACUGAGAUAGUUAUAUAAGGCAAACUAACUCAUUCCGCAGACUGCUGCUGUUUACUGAGGGAAUAAAUGUAUUUCCAUAAAAUUCAAAUAAAAUAUUCUUAUGUUUCUGUUUAAGGCCAUCAUCUGUUGAGAUGAUGGCCUGAUCCUCGUAUUGAAGUCAAGAAAGAACAGCUUCAAGCUUCAGAGAAGCACAGCCCUGAUAACAGCUAACACUGAAAUCAGGAUGGCCCUAUGCAUAAGAAACUAAGAGAAAAACAUAAGCAGAAGAGAACCAUAAACAUAGCUUAAAUAAAGUCACCCGCACUUCAGUCCCAGCUGGCCCUUUCUUGUGCUCUCUGGGUCUCUGUUCCUGUUCAUUACAAAUCAAGAGGCUGGAACUGGUCCUCAUUGUUAUGAGGGUGAAAAGUUCCCAAGUACCAUGCAGGUCUGGGAGGGACUGUAUGAAAGAUUGGUGCAGUAAAACAAUCAUCGUGAAAUGACCGGCAGGGGACACAUAGAUCAGCAGGUAAAUUACUGCGGGUGGGAUAAUACUCCUUAGCGCUUCCCGGUGGACCAGCAGCACAGUAGAGCCUGCACGUCAGCUCCUUGGCGGUACUUGUGUCUUGAGUUUAUUUGUAUUAAGCUUUUCUUUUAUUAGUGGAGGGUUCUGGGCAGGGGUUCUCUAAUAUUUCAUGAUGAUUGUCAUGAAAUUUUGGCAGUGGAUUUGUAUUUGCAGAGACUCACUGUCAUCCACCCUUCCAUUUUUAAUCACAUUUUGAUCUUACAUUACACACGCAAUGGUAGAAUGAUAAUUAAGCUUUGUCUCACUGUCCUUUGAGGCAUAUUUUCACGUAUUAAUUGUUGAUUAACCUGCUUUUCGGUCUAGCAGUUGUUAACCCGUGGCAUCUUCUUGAUUUAAGGACCUAGUAUUGGAGACACUGAAAGACCAGGGAAAUGUCUUAAAUUUUGGCUUUGGGGACUCUCAAAUGCUGGGGGGCAAAAUGCAGGGCAAGAUUUGGAAGAAUAUAUAAUUACCCAGCAUCAAUCUUAAUCAUACUGUUUGGGAGGGUUGUGGCCUGGGGGAAGCCGGAGCUCUGAAGGUUGGCUGUUUCUCAGAGCCCUUCUGUCUGGACCUGUGGUCUGAGUCCCAGGCUAGAAGUGACUGCAAACCCAUCUGAGACACAGUAGAGACUAGUGUUGGUUCUCCUGAGCAGGAUCUGGGAAAGCAGUGAGUUUCUUGAGUUCUCCUGUGGGACAAGAACCAAUGAAACAUCAUGACUGACCUCUAGAGUGAGCUGCCUUCUUGAGUUCUGAAGCUCCCAUUCUGCCUCACACAGCAGUGGUUAAGGCAGGCCCAGAAUAUACAAGCAUGACAUAGAAAGCCAGCAUACAGUAUGUGGCCAAGGUCAUGGUUUGAUGAUGAAAUGUCUCCAACAAGCUCAUGCACUUGAUCAUUUGGUUCCCAGUUGGUGGUGGCGUUUUGCAACAUGGAGCCUAGCUAGUGGAAACAGAUUGCUGGCACAUGUGUGUUGAGGUUUAUAGUCUGGCUGCACAUCUUAGACCAGCUCAGGCUCCUUAACCAAUCUGACACAAUCAAGGUCCCCCUGGUUUAGCUAUAGACUGCUUCUGUGGCAGAACCUUUCCAACCGCUAUGAACCAUAUCUCCUCAAAUCAUGAGCCAGAAUAAAUCUUUGCUCCCUUUAGUUUGUUCUUGUCAGGAAGUUUGUCAGAGCAAUGUAACAAGUAGCUUAAGAUACACAAAAUGAAUCAAAUGUGGAGAGAAAUAGAAUGGACCAAAGACAGAGAUCCUGGGUUCAUUUCUUCUGAUGUCCUGACAGAUUGUAAGACUUCGCCCGAAAAUCAGAUGCACUAUGGAGUAUCAGGAUUUGAUAACCAUUAAGUUUUCCCACCUUAGAGGUUAUGAGCUUCCUGGGGAAAUUAAUUUCAGUUAUAUGGCAAUAAAAAAACAAUGCACUUUUACACAUCUGAUUUGUGGACACAAAUUAGUUUCCAACACUCAACUGCAUUAAUAUUCAUGAAACUCUGAUGCAAUUUUAGUUGUCUUUGGUGCCGUUUCCAGCUCUAAUACAGCUUUCCUGAUCUUAGUUUGAAUUCUCAGCUCCAAUGAAUGCUCCUCGUGCUAGCACCAAACAGCUAUUAUUUAUAUUAAUUAGGUAUAUUUGUCUGUAUUAAUAAUAAAUAACAAAGGUCACCUCACUAUAUGCCUAGUCGUCAGCAAAGGGAGUGGAACUGCAUCCUUUUCACUUUAAGUUACAUUUAUAAUCCAGGAAACACCAAAGGGCAAGAGGUUAAGUUUUAGAAUUUUAUGACUUCUCAAUCUAUGCUGUUUUGAAUGAAAUACAGGAUGUGUGCAGGGUGCUAUGGAUAUUGACAAGCCUAGGUGAUAGGACAGAUAAUGAAAACGGAGUGCCUACGUAUAAUGGAAUUCCAUUCAGCUGUAAAGAAAAUAAAAUCAUGAAAUUUACAGGUAAAUAGAAUUGGAAAACAUUGUCCUUAGUGAUUCCCAUUCUUAAUCAUAUGCAGAUCUAAACAUAUCGCCUUUAGAUGCAUGUGUGUUCAAUUUGGAAUACCUGUAUGAUACAGGACACUAGAAAGGGACUGUUCAUUGGGAUUCACAAAAAAAGAUCUUAAGGGAUAAUAGAUGGAAGAACACAGGUGAUAGGAAGGGAGUAAAAGGAAAGGGGGGUUAGAUGGGAGGGAGAUGGGAUGGUGGGGCAGAAGAGGUGGCUGUUGGAGGCAUAACUAAUAUUUAGGACAUCUAGAAAAAGUCACAUUGGUAAAACAGUCUACAUAUAAUCUAAUUCUCCUUACUUAUUCAGUCUAUUACAUCUACAUAUGUCAAAUAUUAGGAUAUAAGUAUCUUUUCUAGUCUCUUGCCAUAUCUACAUAUGUAUACAUUGUCAAUAAAGUAGUAAUUGCCUGUUAGUUUUAAAAGUUUUCUCAAUGUUGGCAGAUAGCCGGGGUGUAGGUGCACAGAACAGAGCCUGAGCAAACAGCUCUGUCCCUAGGCCUCCAAUGGUUUUCUGUGAGCUUCUAUUGGAGUGGUGUCUUUUCUCUGAACUUUAGCUGUGUUGUAUACACCAUGAGCGAUCAGAGUAAAAAGUGAUGUUGGAUCUUUAUUAAUGCAGAGCUGGUUCCCUGGAUGUUCACUCCCCUUGAAAAGGAAAUCAAAAGUAUCAGAAGACCAGUAAGUGGGACUCAGGUGCCUAUUCCAAAAGUGUGGGAUGCUCAAGUCUGCUUGUCCUCAGCACACCUGUGAUGCCUACCCUUCCCUUCUGAGUUCUACUUUGAAGAACUUGAAUAAGGUCUAGGUGAUCCUUUUCGAAACGCAGAGCCCAGAUCACAUGGAAGGCAACUAGAGCAGCAUAUAUAGAGGCUUCCUGGACUCUCACUCUCGCUUGGCUGGGCCCUGUGGCUCCUGAUUCAUUCCUCCCCUAGGGAGAGGCACAGUAAUCCUGAAGACUGUAGAAGAUAGCAGCUUUGAGGAUGAGGGUGAUUCUUGAGGCACAGGAAGGCCACCUAUGGCCAUACAAGCUUAGAAUCCUGCCACUCCAACUACUUCUCUGCCAGCUCUUUCUACUCGCCCCCAGACAACCAAGGAUAAGCAAGAUGAAUGAGCUCAUCUUAAGAAGCUGAAUGCUGGGGAAGCCAGGCCAGCUCUUGAUGCUUCCUUUCCGGUUCCUUUCCACGCUAUAUACAACUGCAAAUCCCAAGUACUGGAGAAAAGCAAGUGUCUUCAGAGGUUUGAACGUCAGUACAGCAGGGAGCACAUAAAACUGAGAUCAACUCUUCCUGGGGAUUGCCUCCCAUUGAUGACUAAUGGACACUUUCUGGCCGUGCAGAAAUCAAGACACUGUGUGCACAGAAGCCAUCUGUUUAUUUGUUGCAAGUAUCAUCAGGGUACAUUUGCAAAGCUCACUUCUUUUGUCAAGAAGGGAUUUCUGACAUUUAUUUGAAAAUGCAGUAGUUUCUUUUCCCAUGACACAUCAAACAAACAGACGUCCUCCCUCACACAGCGUCCAUCAGACAACUGUAGUCAAGAAAAGAGAAAAUAGGAGGGAAAGAGAGAUACCUCCUACAUACCCAGCAGUCUACAUAGACUAGGCUUAUGCUGCCUUGGACAGAAUGCACUAUCCUAAACGACCAGGAAGGGGGAUGCUUACCCUGUUUCCACUAACAACUGAUGAUAAUUUAUUUUCUUAAAACUUUGUGGUUUAAUAGAAUAUGUCCUGGUUUAUUUAUUGAGCAUAAUAAAUGGAGCUCUUGCAAUACAUAUUAUGAAUAAUUACAUUAAAAAAAUGCUUGACCUGGAAGAAAACACGGCAUAUAAAUGAUCUCAGAAAUUACCUGGAGGCAGUAUGUUUCAGUUUCUAAUAACUCCCUAUUUAUUUAUACCAAAACAUCAAUGAAAAAAGUAUCCUAUAAUAUGACGACUAAUUAAGUGAAUACAAAUUAGACCUAUGACAUUUAGGAAUUGCAUAGCUAUGAUACUGUAAUUAGCGACUGUGGGUAGUAAGCUGGGUCCUUUGAAAGCCAACAAAACAGCAUACAAAUUGUAUGCUUUUCUCCUAGAAUCCUGUCUGUGGCUGCUCAUUUGGGUUAAUUUUAGUUACAUGUUGACUAUAUGAGCUUUGACGAUAUUCACUUUUAUGAUACCAAGACUAAAGGUAGACUUAUUUCUAGGCAUAGUGACAAUGUGUGGUUGGAUAACGAGCCUCCAUUAGAUGUUCCCCUUCUAGCCCAUGGAAUGCCAAACAUGGCAUGAGCUGUUUCUUCUUAUUUUAAUUCUAAGGUUCUGGAGUAGUUGCUGUGGUGCCUGGAGUAAGAUUUUUUGACUUCCUAGAACAAAAGAAUCUAAAGAUAAUAAAUACUGGAGAAAGAUAAUAUGUUACAAAAGAUGGCCUUUUUAUUAGAACUUAAUGAUCAUAGGCAAUUUAAUAAUAUAUACAAUAGUAUUUGCUUAGUAGUAUGUAAAGGCAUGUAAUGUAGGUAAGAUUCAAGCCUUCACCUGCUCUCUUAUGGUCAUUGAUGUUUUACUUGGUAGGAAACAGGUAGAAGCAUGAUGCAACCAGAUAGACGCAUUACAGUAGGACCAGAGAGUGCUCUGAGUCUGCUGACCAUAUCAGCUCAGUUAAUGCCUUCAGCACUGGUGGGCAAAGAGGAGGUGCAGCUUGCUCUGAGUGGAGGGGCAGACAUUUCUCAGGUCUGUCCUAGAAAAGCUGUAUCCCAAUGCCUUUCCAUUAAAUCAUAACCCCCAAACACUGAAAAGAUUAUGAAGUUGCACAAAAGCUCUAGGAAAAAAAAAAAAAAAAAAAAGAAGAAUGCUGCCCUUUCCAUUUUAGAGCAUUCCCAGCAAUGGUGAUUAGAGGAAGAGCACAGCCAACUGAUUGAACAUACAGAAUUUGCAUUUUAUGCAAAUGUUUCCUUCCUCUCUUGACUUCCCCAGAUAGUAAUAUUAGGAUAUUUAUCUACUAAUGUCUUAAAAAGCAAAUACCUUCAUGGUGAGCAUAUAUACAUGGUAUCUUAGUCAGGGUUUCUAUUCCUGCACAAAACAUCAUGACCAAGAAGCAAAUUGGGCAGGAAAGGGUUUAUUCAGCUCAUUGCUGUUCAUCACCAAAGGAAGUCAGGACAGGACAGGAGCUCACACAGCCCAGGUACCUGGAGGCAGGAGCUGAUGCAGAGGCCAUGAAGAGUGUUGCUUACUGAAUUGCUUUCCCUGGCUUGCUCAGCUUGCUUUCUUAAAAAACCUAGGAUUACCAGCCUAGGGAUGGCACCACCCACAAGGGGCUGGGCUCUCCUCCCUUGAUCACUAAUUGACAAAAUACCUUACAGCUGGUUCUCACGGAGGCAUUUUCUCAAGGGACGGUCCUUUCUCUAUGAUAACUAGCUUGUGUCAAGUUGACACCAGAACCAGCCAUUAUAGAUGCCAAGUUGCUUGUAUAUGCUGAAUACUACAAAUCCACAAACAUUCGCUCUCCACCCUACUCCCAGUGCAGAAUUAUUCUUAUAUUCUUGUGACUUAUCUGAAGUUCUGUAGAUGCCUCAGGUAGUCAGAACCUGCUUUCUCCCGUGUGACUCAGGAAUUUGCUUUACACGAAAAAGAAUUCCUCACUUUCGAUCAUCUCUUCUCACUCCACAACCCCACAGUUCUUAGAACUCCUAUAGCAUUUGGUAUAAGUUAUGAUGAUGGAAAAUAAAGUACCUAUGUAUUAA